UACGGGGGGGGCAAGCGUUGUUCGGAAUUACUGGGCGUAAAGGGCUCGUAGGCGGCCAACUAAGUCGGAUGUGAAAUCCCCAAGCUUAACUUGGGAACUGCAUCCGAUACUGGAUGGCUUGAAUCCGGGAGAGGGAUGCAGAAUUCCAGGUGUAGCGGUGAAAUGCGUAGAUAUCUGGAGGAAUACCGGUGGCGAAGGCGGCAUCCUGGACCGGCAUUGACGCUGAGGAGCGAAAGCUAGGGGAGCGAACGGGG
rnacentral:rRNA from 1 species